GAUGAACGCUGGCGGCGUGCCUAAUACAUGCAAGUCGAGCGAACAGACGAGGAGCUUGCUCCUCUAACGUUAGCGGCGGACGGGUGAGUAACACGUGGAUAACCUACCUAUAAGACUGGGAUAACUUCGGGAAACCGGAGCUAAUACCGGAUAAUAUAUUGAACCGCAUGGUUCAAUAGUGAAAGACGGUUUUGCUGUCACUUAUAGAUGGAUCCGCGCCGCAUUAGCUAGUUGGUAAGGUAACAGCUUACCAAGGCAACGAUGUGUAGCCGACCUGAGAGGGUGAUCGGCCACACUGGAACUGAGACACGGUCCAGACUCCUACGGGAGGCAGCAGUAGGGAAUCUUCCGCAAUGGGCGAAAGCCUGACGGAGCAACGCCGCGUGAGUGAUGAAGGUCUUCGGAUCGUAAAACUCUGUUAUUAGGGAAGAACAAAUGUGUAAGUAACUAUGCACGUCUUGACGGUACCUAAUCAGAAAGCCACGGCUAACUACGUG
rnacentral:rRNA from 1 species